UGAGCUGCAGCCCUGCAGGGAAGCCAGGCACCAGCAGAAAGCCCUCGGGUGCAUCCUGUGCAGCGCUGUGACCCCGUUUGUCGCUGUCCCCUCCCCACAGGUACAUGCUGAACAACUCCCUGGCUAAGAUACCCAACACCUCCCUGUGUGCGGAGAUGCCGAAGCUGAGCUGGCUGGAUCUGGAGGGGAACAGGAUCCGGGCGGUGCAUGGGGCCGUGUUCCAGGAGUGUCGCGAGCUCACCGUGCUGUGAGUACCCCAGGAUACCCCUGGGUGGGCUGGGGGCAGGGGGGGGCUCUGCUCGGACCCCUUUUCCCUCUGCUCUGGGCUAGGCGAGGGGCUGUGUUUCAUGUGAACGGUUUUGCUCCAUAUUUGUGUUGCUGUCGGCUUCAUGA
rnacentral:lncRNA from 1 species